rnacentral:rRNA from 1 species
GACGAACGCUGGCGGCGUGCCUAACACAUGCAAGUCGAGCGAAGUGAGUACUACGGUACGAACUUAGCGGCGGACGGGUGAGUAACGCGUGGACAAUCUACCCUGUAGACUGGGAUAACACCUCGAAAGGGGUGCUAAUACCGGAUAAUGUCGAGAAGCGGCAUCGCUUUUCGAAGAAAGGAGAGAAUCCGCUAUAGGAGGAGUCCGCGUCCCAUUAGCUAGUUGGUGAGGGUAACGGCCCACCAAGGCGACGAUGGGUAGCCGGCCUGGGAGGGUGAACGGCCACACUGGAACUGAGACACGGUCAGACUCCUACGGGAGGCAGCAGUGGGGAAUAUUGUGCAAUGGGGGAAACCCUGACACAGCAACGCCGCGUGAGCGAAGAAGGCCUUCGGGUUGUAAGGCUCAAUAGUAUGGGAAGAUAAUGACGGUACCAUACGAAAGCCCCGGCUAACUACGUGCCAGCCGCCGCCGUAACAC